GUCAGGGACGUAGGGUGGUAGAGUUUGUAUAUCUGCCGACCAGUUAAAACAAGUGUGAAAACUGUUGCUCACUACUAUUUCUACAUAAUUGUGAUGAGAAAAAAACAGUAUGGUCUCGGGAAGUAUUCUAUAUGUAGUAUGUCAAAACUGUCCUUACAAAAACCCUAUAUUCACUGGGAAAAGACAUCGUCUAGCAGAAAAUAAGCAGAAGGGGGUGCAAGUUUGGGACAUUAAUACUAAAGUUAAAACUUAGUAUUGUACGGUAAGACUAUAUAUCCCAUAUUUAGAAAUUAUCACACCAGUCAAAACAAGUAAAAAUAUUUUCAAAUAAGAGAAAAGGAAAUGAACCACCUAUACUUAUACUGGUCAUAAAUUCGCCGC
rnacentral:lncRNA from 1 species